rnacentral:rRNA from 1 species
CCUACGGGGGGCAGCAGUGGGGAAUAUUGCGCAAUGGGCGAAAGCCUGACGCAGCGACGCCGCGUGAGGGAUGAAGGUCUUCGGAUCGUAAACCUCUGUCAGCAGGGAAGAACGGUCACUGUGCUAAUCAGCAGUGAAUUGAUGGUACCUGCAAAGGAAGCACCGGCUAACUCCGUGCCAGCAGCCGCGGUAAUACGGAGGGUGCGAGCGUUAAUCGGAAUUACUGGGCGUAAAGCGCUCGUAGGCGGUAUGUCAAGUCAAGGGUGAAAUCCCCGCGCUCAACGUGGGAACUGCCUUUGAAACUGGCAGACUGGAGUGUGUGAGAGGAUGGUGGAAUUCCAGGUGUAGGGGUGAAAUCCGUAGAUAUCUGGAGGAACAUCGGUGGCGAAGGCGACUAUCUGGCACAUAACUGACGCUGAGGAGCGAAAGCGUGGGUAGCAAACAGGAUUAGAUACCCGUGUAGUC